rnacentral:rRNA from 1 species
UACGGGGGGGGCAAGCGUUGUUCGGAAUUACUGGGCGUAAAGGGCUCGUAGGCGGCCAACUAAGUCAGACGUGAAAUCCCUCGGCUUAACCGGGGAACGGCGUCUGAUACUGGAUGGCUUGAGUUCGGGAGAGGGAUGCGGAAUUCCAGGUGUAGCGGUGAAAUGCGUAGAUAUCUGGAGGAACACCGGUGGCGAAGGCGGCAUCCUGGACCGAGACUGACGCUGAGGAGCGAAAGCCAGGGGAGCAAACGGG